rnacentral:misc_RNA from 1 species
AACGCACAUUGCGCCCUUUGGCAUUCCGAGGGGCAUGCCCGUUCGAGCGUCAUUUCACCAAUCAAGCCUCGCUUGGUAUUGGGCGAGGAGCCGACCGCUCCCGCCUCCACGUCCCCGGCUGGACGGUUCGAUUCUCAGCGUUGUGAUCUUUUCAACUCGCUGCGGGAGACGACCGCCCGCGCCGUUAAACACGCGCAAGCGCACACCAGGUUGACCUCGGAUCGGGUAGGGAUACCCGCUGAACUUAA